UUCUCAAAUCCAAGUACUGCUUCAAGUUCACCUAAUUACUACAGCAUCAGAGCGACACGCGUUCCAGAAUAAGAGGCUGUCCGUGGAUUUGCUUCAGCGCUCCAUGGCUUGGCAGACUUCCUCUUUGCCAGGGCCGUUGUAUACGUAGCUAAGUCUGAGUAAAAAGACAGUUCCACGAUUCAGAUGUGCAGCGCAUCUGGUUUGUUUCUGUGAAUUGGUGAAGUGAAGGUUAAGAUGAAUUUUCUGCUUUUUCCUGUUUACUCAGCCCAAUUUAUUAAAACGACUCCUGCCUGUCCACAUUCUGCAGCACCACAGUUCUCAUCAGCCAGGUAUUGUUAUUACCUUGAAGGACACAAGGUGAAUAAAAUAUCAAUUCUGCUCUGCUCUUGCUCAAAGACUGGAAAAUUCUGAUUCAAAAUAUCUAGACAAGAGGAUUUGCUUGGCAACUUAUAGUAGCAGCAAGAGCAAAGACCCACUGAUACACA
rnacentral:lncRNA from 1 species